rnacentral:rRNA from 1 species
ACUCCUGCGGGAGGCAGCAGUGGGGAAUUUUGGACAAUGGGCGAAAGCCUGAUCCAGCAAUGCCGCGUGAGUGAAGAAGGCCUUCGGGUUGUAAAGCUCUUUUGUCAGGGAAGAAACGGUGAGAGCUAAUAUCUUUUGCUAAUGACGGUACCUGAAGAAUAAGCACCGGCUAACUACGUGCCAGCAGCCGCGGUAAUACGUAGGGUGCAAGCGUUAAUCGGAAUUACUGGGCGUAAAGCGUGCGCAGGCGGUUUUGUAAGUCUGAUGUGAAAUCCCCGGGCUCAACCUGGGAAUUGCAUUGGAGACUGCAAGGCUAGAAUCUGGCAGAGGGGGGUAGAAUUCCACGUGUAGCAGUGAAAUGCGUAGAUAUGUGGAGGAACACCGAUGGCGAAGGCAGCCCCCUGGGUCAAGAUUGACGCUCAUGCACGAAAGCGUGGGGAGCAAACAGGAUUAGAAACCCCAGUAGUCCCA